ensembl:snoRNA SNORA63 Small nucleolar RNA SNORA63
UUGCAGGAUAAGUUACUAAUCAGCUGUUGCAGUGCUGGUUGGUCGUUCCCCCUGCACAAAUCAACUUGUUUCUUACUAUCCCUGUCUGUCCGCAUCCCACGGCUUGCAGGGACGCUUAGUUUCAAACAU